UACGUAGGGUGCGAGCGUUGUCCGGAAUUAUUGGGCGUAAAGAGCUCGUAGGCGGUCUGUCGCGUCUGCUGUGAAAACUCAGGGCUUAACCCUGAGCUUGCAGUGGGUACGGGCAGACUAGAGUGCGGUAGGGGAGACUGGAAUUCCGUGGUGUAGCGGUGAAAUGCGCAGAUAUCAGGAGGAACACCGGUGGCGAAGGCGGAUCUCUGG
rnacentral:rRNA from 1 species